rnacentral:rRNA from 1 species
UAGUCCACGCCCUAAACGAUGCUAACUCGAUAUUUGGGCUUUAAGUCUGAGUGUCUAAGGGAAACCAAUAAGUUAGCCACCUGGGGAGUACGUUCGCAAGAAUGAAACUCAAAGGAAUUGACGGGGUCCGCACAAGCGGUGGAGCAUGUGGUUUAAUUCGAUGAUACGCGAGGAACCUUACCUAGGCUACAAUGUGAUCGCAAUCUGGUGAAAGCCGGAGUUCCUUCGGGACGAGAAACAAGGUGCUGCAUGGUUGUCGUCAGCUCGUGCCGUGAGGUGUUGGGUUAAGUCCCGCAACGAGCGCAACCCUUGUCUUUAGUUGCCAUCAUUAAGUUGGGUACUUUAAAGGGACUGCCGGUGACAAACCGGAGGAAGGUAAGGAUGACGUCAAGUCAGCAUGCCCCUUAUGUUCUGGGGCUACACACGUGCUACAAUGGUCGUGACAAAGAGUCGCAAGCUU